UACGGGAGGCAGCAGUAGGGAAUCUUCGGCAAUGGACGAAAGUCUGACCGAGCAACGCCGCGUGAGUGAAGAAGGUUUUCGGAUCGUAAAACUCUGUUGGUAGAGAAGAACGUUGGUGAGAGUGGAAAGCUCAUCAAGUGACGGUAACUACCCAGAAAGGGACGGCUAACUACGUGCCAGCAGCCGCGGUAAUACGUAGGUCCCGAGCGUUGUCCGGAUUUAUUGGGCGUAAAGCGAGCGCAGGUGGUUUAUUAAGUCUGGUGUAAAAGGCAGUGGCUCAACCAUUGUAUGCAUUGGAAACUGGUAGACUUGAGUGCAGGAGAGGAGAGUGGAAUUCCAUGUGUAGCGGUGAAAUGCGUAGAUAUAUGGAGGAACACCGGUGGCGAAAGCGGCUCUCUGGCCUGUAACUGACACUGAGGCUCGAAAGCGUGGGGAGCAAACAGGAUU
rnacentral:rRNA from 1 species